rnacentral:lncRNA from 1 species
AUCAAUGCAAAGUGACUAUUUUAGAUGAGACAAUGGAGUGCUACUCCACAUGAGAUCUAUUUUCAUGAUCAAUGCAAAGUGAUGCCAUUUUAGAUAAGACAAUGGAGUGCUACUCUACAUGAGACAACAGAAGAUACCUAUAAUGAGCCGUAGUUCUUACCAAGAAGUUCUUGCUAUUCCAAAACUCUUAUUUUGUUGGUAGUGAAGAGAUAAACUUUCCUUUCUUUAUUUUUAUUUGAUUUAAUUUUCCUUUUUAUUUUGUUUUGUUUACCAAAUCCGCUUAUUUAAAUUCCUUCAAACCUAGAUUUAAUUGCCAUGGAUCACACAAACUUUGAAAGAAGAAAAAAAUAGUAGAGGCAAUUAAAUAAAAAAUUUUACGACAAUAUAGUUCAAUUUUUAGAAAUGCUUCAUUAGGUAACUCAUCUAGAAUUUUUUUAUAAAAAUUUCUGAAGUGCCUUUAUUUUGGUUUAUGAACUUGAGCAAGCGAGUACAUUAUACUAAUACUAGUGGGAUUACGUGUGUUGUAGGUAUGAAUAAAAUUGGUGAUCACGUAAAUGUGCAAUUGAGAAUAAGUAGAUAUGGCAUUCAUAUAAAUAAUUUUACAAAUAUGUAACAAAAUAGUUUAUUAAUAUGCAAUAAGAGAUCACGUAAAUAAUCACAUGAUUUUACAAUAAGAGGGUGUGUCGAUAUGCAAUGAGAAUAGAUGAAUAACAAAUCAAUAAGAAUAUUUGAAUAACAAAUCAUUCAAAUAAGCAAUAACUUGUGCUUAUAAAGUUUUAUGUAUGGGUGCGGUUUGUAUAGAGCCUAGGCUCUAAACAAUCAAAUUAGAGCCUACCUUCAAAUAGUAUCGAGAAAUGUGGUUUCAAUGUUAGAAAUCUUUGUGAUAGCCUUAAAAUAUAUUUUCAUCUUUAUUUAUUAAGAUUAAAGCUUCAAAAAUAGUGUAGAUCGACAUAUCUAUGAAAACUUGAAAACCUUGAAAAUUGACGAUCCACAAAUGC